GGGGAUUUAGCUCAGUGGCAUAAGCACCUGCUUUGCAAGCAGGUGGUCGUGAGUUCGAUCCUCGGUACCGUUA
rfam:Cavia porcellus supercont2_162 genomic scaffold, whole genome shotgun sequence.